AGCAUAUCAAUAAGCGGAGGAAAAGAAACCAACAGGGAUUGCCUCAGUAACGGCGAGUGAAGCGGCAACAGCUCAAAUUUGAAAUCUGGCCCUUGGGUCCGAGUUGUAAUUUGCAGAGGAUGCUUUUGGUGAAGUGCCUUCCGAGUCCCAUGGAACUGGGCGCCAUAGAGGGUGAGAGCCCCGUCUAGUCGUGCACUGAGCCUAUGUAAAGCUCCUUCGACGAGUCGAGUAGUUUGGGAAUGCUGCUCUAAAUGGGAGGUGUAUGUCUUCUAAAGCUAAAUACCGGCCAGAGACCGAUAGCGCACAAGUAGAGUGAUCGAAAGAUGAAAAGUACUCUGAAGAGAGAGUUAAAUAGCACGUGAAAUUGUUAAAGGGGAAGCGUUUAUGACCAGACUUGGGGCCGGCCGAUCAUCCAGCGUUCUCGCUGGUGCACUCGGCCGGCUUUAGGCCAGCAUCGGUUCGCGCCGGGGGAAAAAGGCUUCGGGAACGUAGCUCCUUCGGGAGUGUUAUAGACCGUUGCGUAAUACCCUGGGGCGGACUGAGGAACGCGCUUCGGCACGGAUGCUGGCGUAAUGGUCACCAACGACCCGU
rnacentral:rRNA from 1 species